AAAAAAAAAAAAAAAAAAGAAGGCCAUGCUUUUGUUGGGAAUUUCUUAGCUUUACCUCUUGCUCCUUUAUUGAAGCCAUGGAUUUGAAAUCUUAAGACCUCAAACGUUAGCGCCAAUACCGUUUGCCAAUUCUCAGGGGCAAGCAUUCUUGCAAUUUCAGCCAACAGCUUUGUGUAUUGUGUCUAUGAUGAACCAAGAAUUUCCCCUUUGAGCCUGACAAGUGACGUCCCGUAUUUUCUUGCGUUUUCAACCUAACUAUAAAUAUCUAAUCCCUCUUGUCACCUAGUCCUGCAUCCAGCAUGCACUCUUUUUCUAUAGGACUACAGCUGUGACCAAGCCAAAAUGGGGCACAAAGGACCCAAGUCUUUAAGAGGAAAAUAAAACAAAUUAUGCAACUAAAUAUAGGAGCCUCAUAAGUCAUAACACGGGAUUUAGAUUUCACUAUCGAAUACCUGAACCCAAAUUUAAAAAAAUUUGGCAUUUGGUCCACCAGAAACCACUCCCAGCAAAAUUACAGAAUACUGAUUGGGACCAUUCAAAAAGACCAAAAUGGGUAAAACCAGAACAGGUCCAGACCAGAGAGCAAAGCAAGAAAACAUUCAUGAGCUCACCAUUCUGCUCACUGGUUACAUUCAUGAAAUAUAAUAUUAAAAUCCCAAACAAAAUGAAAAAGAAAAAAAAAUACAUGGGAAUUUUACAAUGGUGUCCUGGUAGACUCAUGAGAAGAGUAGGCAGAUAAAUAGACAGAAAUUGUACUAUUUUGUUCAGAGUGCAUUACAUGAUAGAGCAGGCAUUUGGGUUGUCAUCACUGAACAUGGAGAUGUAAGGGUCCUCAUAUCUGGUUACAGUGCCCGUAGUUGCAGUGCUUUCUACAUUCCUGACAUAGCCUGGAGGUGCCUUCUUGUCAUAAGCCUUAGCAACGUAAGGCUGAGCCACUAAAUUGUAAGGAACGUAAGGCCAAAUCUCAGUCUUUUUUCCUGUUGACUUAGCCUUCUUCAAUACCUUGUUUGAAUCGACAUACCCAGUUACAGUAACCUUCUGUUGUUUCCUGUUUAUCUCUACCUUUUUAACUCCACUUAAUGAAGAAAGGGCAUUCUUGACCUUGAGCUCACAGCCAUCACAGUCCAUUCUGACCUUGAGCUCUACAGUCUGUAAUUGCUUCUUCUUCUUGUGUUUAUGGCCACUACUUCCCACCAAAUCAGAUAAAUACUCAAAAGUACCUCCAACCCCCAUUUUUUGGUAUUAUGAAAAAAAAAGGAUCUAAAAGAGACUUCUGUUGCAAUUACAGAAUCAAAAGUACUUCCAAUGCAAGCAAGUUUUAAGAGCUUGACAGAAAGUAACAGAUGGUAAUUUCCAGGGAAAAACCAAGGAAUGGAAGGAACAGAGACAAAAGGGUUGUGUUUGUGAAAGGAAGCAAGGCAAUUUAUAGUAUCAGAACACAAAUUACACCAGUGAGCAGCUACCAAGUAGAAGUUACUAGGAACUUCCCUGCAAACAAUAAUGGAUUCUUUUCUUUUCUUAUAAACGGAGUUCUAUUUCUUAUAUAGGCCUUUCCAUCCAUCAAGGAUUUAUCUUACCCAAAUCCAGUCAACCAUAUUUUGAAUCCAUAAACUUAAAUCUAUGAUAGAUCGAGGUCUAGGCAGGAGUUUCCUCUAAUUCAAAUUGAAAACAGUGGUGGCCCCCAAUUAAACAGACAUGAUAUUUAUUUUCUU
rnacentral:misc_RNA from 1 species